AUAGGAGCCUGCUUGUUCUGAAGGGCAGUAAAUGUUCUAGGGAAAUCAGCAAACUACAGGAAAGGAAAAGCUGAAAUUCUCUUGCCCAGAUUAUGAGUCAACAGGAAAAGGCAGAAGCGUGGCAUCCGAAUCAAUUUCACACUUAAUGGGAAAAAUGCAGAACCGCCGGGACAAAGCAGCCGACAAGGCACUGGAUCACAAACUUUCUGCCUGGUGCGAAGGCCUCAAGACAGGAUUCCACUCACACUAAUAAAUGGAGACUUCGCAAACCAUGAGGUCCUCAACCUAGCAGAGUACGUCUGGGGAGAUCUUAAGAUCAAGUACAAUUAUUAAACAGGCAGAACCUAACAGCUCCAUGCCUACACACCCUUGGUAAACAGCCAGGAUAUAAACGGUUGACCUUUGAAAUGGAGCUUUGCUCACAUGCCGUGGCUGUACUGAAAUGGCACUUCAGGUUCCACGGAUGGGAAUUUUCAAGGAAAGCAAUCUGGAACCUGGGAGGGUGGGGAUUGUAAACGAG
rnacentral:lncRNA from 1 species